rnacentral:rRNA from 1 species
UACGAAGGGGGCUAGCGUUGUUCGGAAUCACUGGGCGUAAAGCGCACGUAGGCGGAUUGUUAAGUCGGGGGUGAAAUCCUGGAGCUCAACUCCAGAACUGCCUUCGAUACUGGCGAUCUUGAGUCCGGGAGAGGUGAGUGGAACUCCGAGUGUAGAGGUGAAAUUCGUAGAUAUUCGGAAGAACACCAGUGGCGAAGGCGGCUCACUGGCCCGGUACUGACGCUGAGGUGCGAAAGCGUGGGGAGCAAACAGG